rnacentral:misc_RNA from 1 species
AACGCAUCUUGCACUCUUCGGUAUUCCUUGGAGUAUGCCUGUUUCAGUAUCAUUAAUAUCUAUCGAACUCUUGAGAUUUUCUCAAAGUGAAUCGAAAUUGAGCUUUUGUAAUAGCUUUAGGCUUUUACUAGCUUUAAAUUCAGUCGUGGCCGCAUCUUUAAAAAGAUACUGGCGUCAUAGUUGACUCCUUUGGAGCUCAUCUUUCGUCUAGCUUUCUUUAAAAUUUGCUUAAGACUACGUAAAAUUUUUUUUAUACUCGAUCUGAAAUCAGGCAGGACUACCCGCUGAACUUAA